UACGUAGGGUGCGAGCGUUGUCCGGAUUUAUUGGGCGUAAAGAGCUCGUAGGCGGUUUGUCGCGUCGGCCGUGAAAUCUCCACGCUUAACGUGGAGCGUGCGGUCGAUACGGGCAGACUUGAGUUCGGUAGGGGAGACUGGAAUUCCUGGUGUAGCGGUGAAAUGCGCAGAUAUCAGGAGGAACACCGGUGGCGAAGGCGGGUCCCUGGGCCGAUACUGACGCUGAGGAGCGAAAGCGUGGGGAGCGAACAGG
rnacentral:rRNA from 1 species